CAUACACAUAAUAAUCACAAUAUCAAAGGUGAUCUAUAUUCACCAUUAUAGUAUAAAAGCAUAAGAGAAUCCAUUUUUGUUUCUAGCUAGAUGAUACAGCAUUCAUUUGAACUUUAUACAGACUAAAAGUACAAUAACAAAUUGUUGGCUAGUAUCAAGUCCACAUACGCACAUCCAAAGUCCAGUUUAAUUCCUAAUAAGGACACAUGGUUAAAUCACUAGUCAGUCACAUCACGAGGAUGUCUUGGCUAAAUAUCUCUUGGUUGUUUUUGCCAAUUGUCCUAAUAUUGCAUAACACUGUACUUAAGAUGUAUAAAAUCAUAUGGGAGGGUUAUAAGAAUGGGGCGUAACUGUAUGUUAUAAAAAUCAUUGUUUUGACAUGUAUCUGUUGUUGAAGCAUUUUGACCCAGGCUAAGAGAAUGUAGUCUCUAGACCUGUAUAUGGGCGUGGUCCUUAAAUAAAAUAUAUGUUCAAUUGCUUUCUAAAUCUGACUAUCAUAUAGUCAUUACUUAACAUUAACAACAACAACAACAACAACAACAACAACAUGGUUAAAGUAGUAUUUAACAAUUUGGGGGCUCUGUCCUUCGGACAUAUAAAUUUAAAUCUCUUCAUCAAAUUCUCAAAGGGGUGUGCCAGCCAGCCAGCAGCUGAGGACAGAAGGAAUAUUCCAGGAUCAUUACAGCACUGCAGGAAAUCCAGAGAAAUUUAUGACCGGUGUAAAGAUCACCCUUUGAAAAACAGUGGUUGAUAAACUAUUCCUAAAAAAGAGUAAUUGACUCAGUAAUCAGGAAACAUGUUCCUGCCACCAGAACAUCAAUAAAACCUCGAAUUGGUGGAGGUGGCUAAUAAGUUCUCCUAUGGCUAAUGGAGUCGUAUGAUUAAUCAACUGGGAGUUGACGUUUUAUUUCAUUUAAAAGUUAUUGAUAACAUGACUGAACUUUAUGAUAGGACAUUCCAGGACAUUGGACAUGAACUAUUACGAUACCACAUUGUUCUACAUUCUUUAAUACCACAAAUUGGAGGAUAUUGUUGAUUUCCGGAAACAGCACUUUGAGUUCACUGCUGUGCUUAUUUAACCAAUGACAUUACAGAUCCUGAUACGUGUAUUACCAAGUAUAUAAAGGAGGCCCAAAAUAUAAAUGAAGAACUUUAACCAAGACAUUAUGAUAUGGACUGGAAAGGAUAAAUGUUUAAAUCCUAGUAUUCAAUUUUUAGGAUUAGGAAAAUGUUUUUUUUUAAGUAUAUUGUAUGUGAUGAUGUAUUCUGUGAUGAGGUUUAUUCUUUGGUGACCCCGACGUAAUUAUAGCCAUUCUUUUGAUGUUCACUGUCUACAGGUGCGGCCUAUGUUGUAUUUAGAAGGCUACUGCCAGACGCAAAAUAGCAAUACUACAUAAAAUGAUUAUUAGCAACCUAUACGUUCCCAAAAAUUCCCCUGAGAUGACAGGGCACAUGGAUAAUGUCCCUUAUCAGAGGGUGGAACUGUCAAAUACUGAGGCAACAUUCUAAAUGCCUACAGCCAUAUAUAUAUAUGUACUACGGGGUAGUACGUAUAUUAUGCAUACACAUAAUAAUCACAAUAUCAAAGGUGAUCUAUAUUCACCAUUAUAGUAUAAAAGCAUAAGAGAAUCCAUUUUUGUUUCUAGCUAGAUGAUACAGCAUUCAUUUGAACUUUAUACAGACUAAAAGUACAAUAACAAAUUGUUGGCUAGUAUCAAGUCCACAUACGCACAUCCAAAGUCCAGUUUAAUUCCUAAUAAGGACACAUGGUUAAAUCACUAGUCAGCCACAUCACGAGGAUGUCUUGGCUAAAUAUCUCUUGGUUGUUUUUGCCAAUUGUCCUAAUAUUGCAUAACACUGUACUUAAGAUGUAUAAAAUCAUAUGGGAGGGUUAUAAGAAUGGGGCGUAACUGUAUGUUAUAAAAAUCAUUGUUUUGACACGUAUCUGUUGUUGAAGCAUUCUGACCCAGGCUAAGAGAAUGUAGUCUCUAGACCUGUAUAUGGGCGUGGUCCUUAAAUAAAAUAUAUGUUCAAUUGCUUUCUAAA